UAUCUACACACCACCUUACAGUGUUAGAAUAUUCUGAGGUGGAAAUGGUGGCUCAUACUUGGAAUCCCAGAACUUUGGGAAGCCAAGGGUGGAGGAUCACUUGAGCCCAGGAGUUUGAGACAAGUCUGUGCAAUGGGAAUUCUUAAGAUUGUAUUCUCUCAGUUCUGCAAAGCCAGGCCAGGUGCUGAGAACCUCCUGUUUGUCUUCUCCGGGAGCAGUUCCCUAAAAUACUCAAGAUUCUGUGCCUUCUUCCAAUUCUGCAGAGUUGAGCCAGCUGCCAGCAUGAGACACUUGUACUUGUCAUCCAUAACGGCUUGCUCAGAGAGCUGUCCUAUGGGGGGAUGAAGCACAGAGAGUGUUUGGGGUGUCCAUGGGUCAGCUAGGGGGAGGAGGUCCAAGGAUGAGGUAUCCUGAGAAGCUCAUGGGCAGGCUUCCUGAUGCAGUCCACAGAGAGAAUUCCCUUCCUUGCCUCCAUCUUCACCCCAUCAUUCAGCUGGGCUGAUCACCUAAGAGUUCUAGGAAAGGCAAGAAAAAGUACAUCUCUUGGACAGUAUCCAGCAUGGCUGGAGAAGCUAGGUUCUCACCCAUUACACUCUCACUUUCUCUUGGGGGAGAAAUCAUGGGCUGAGGAGGUCUCUCUUGGCACUAACUUAUACCACCUUGGGUGGGUGAUGCAGGUAAAGUGCAACUGUUUUUCUUACCCACUUCAUGCAUCUUGGACUUUUUGCUCUAACAGUGUGUAGCAACUUCUCUGCUGAACUCCCAGACUCCCACAGAGUUACUCUCACCCGUGGGUAGUUGACAAAAAUUGAUUCUUUACAGGGGAGAGAUGUUAGAAAACUCCUAUUCUGCCAUCUUGCUCUAGUGAAGAAAUUUGUGGCUCAAAAAUGUGAACUUAUGGUUCACAGGCCCUUACUCCUCAACACUACUACUUAGAUAAAAUUAUCAGAGUGAAAAAAAUAAGUAAAAUAAAGUCAUAACAAUAAACAGAAGGCAGAUUUCAACAUUUCUGAGAAAAAAAAGAAAACAGAUAUAAGCAUCUUUAUGGAGGUGAAAACUCUUUCCCAGAGUUUCUUCAGGAAUAAUAAUAACAAAUCUAUGCAUUGAAACCUGGAAGGGAUCUGGGCUUAGAGUUAGUAGGUUUGAGGGAAGGCAGGGAUAAGAAGGGCAACUUAACACAGUGCUUUUGCGAACUGCAUUUGGAGCAGCUGAACCAACAGAAGUCUUCUCCAUCCCCUUCUCUUUUCUCACAGAAGUACAACAGGUAUUUGUACUCAAGCAGUGUGGAAUAAUUUGUACUCAAGCAGUGUGGGAAGCCUUUUCUUAAAUAAUUAAAAGAACUCUCUGGGGAAAGCAAAGAUUCCCAUUCCCCAUAAUAAAGC
rnacentral:lncRNA from 1 species